GAUGAACGCUGGCGGCGUGCCUAAUACAUGCAAGUCGAGCGAACAGACGAGGAGCUUGCUCCUCUGACGUUAGCGGCGGACGGGUGAGUAACACGUGGAUAACCUACCUAUAAGACUGGGAUAACUUCGGGAAACCGGAGCUAAUACCGGAUAAUAUAUUGAACCGCAUGGUUCAAUAGUGAAAGACGGCUUUGCUGUCACUUAUAGAUGGAUCCGCGCCGCAUUAGCUAGUUGGUAAGGUAACGGCUUACCAAGGCAACGAUGCGUAGCCGACCUGAGAGGGUGAUCGGCCACACUGGAACUGAGACACGGUCCAGACUCCUACGGGAGGCAGCAGUAGGGAAUCUUCCGCAAUGGGCGAAAGCCUGACGGAGCAACGCCGCGUGAGUGAUGAAGGUCUUCGGAUCGUAAAACUCUGUUAUUAGGGAAGAACAAAUGUGUAAGUAACUAUGCGCGUCUUGACGGUACCUAAUCAGAAAGCCACGGCUAACUACGUG
rnacentral:rRNA from 1 species